rnacentral:misc_RNA from 1 species
UCUCCGUUGGUGAACCAGCGGAGGGAUCAUUACCGAGUGCAAACUCAUAACCCUUUGUGAACCUAUAUCUGUUGCUUCGGCGGCUCGCUCUCGGGCGAGCCCGCCGGUAAUAUCAGUAUCUCUGUUUGAACCCGACGAUACUUCUGAGUGUUCUUAGCGAACAGUGAAAACUUUUAACAACGGAUCUCUUGGCUCUA